UAUACUAACAAUAUUUACCAUUAUCAAAACAAAGUUACGUGAAGUGAUUAAAGUUUCGUGAAAAAUUUAAAAUAAAUUUGUUUAAAGACGCCCCGAGUAUAUGGACACAAGAUAUAAGCGAUGAUGAUGUUAAGAUAUCUUGUGGUGAUGCUGAAGCUUGGAUGACAUGGCCUUGGCUCCUCUGGUGGAUGUCUUCAUCACCAGUAAGAACUCCUGGAUGACUGUCUCUCUGACGCCCAACAAGAAACAGAGCCAGCCGAGGGGGCUGCUAUAGGACUGACUACUUGGAUUAAUUGCAGAACAGUGAAUGCAGAGGACAGGGGAGCCCUGGGAUGCUGUGUCAUGGACCUAGUGGAUAUAUAUCUUCAGCAACAGGUAACAGAUACUUGAAGCCAACACAGAGGAAGCGACAGAACCAACCUUGAGCAAGAUGUAACACACCACAUGUUAUUUCUGCCUCCCCA